CCUACGGGAGGCAGCAGUGAGGAAUAUUGGUCAAUGGGCGCGAGACUGAACCAGCCAAGUAGCGUGAAGGAUGACUGCCCUACGGGUUGUAAACUUCUUUUAUAAAGGAAUAAAGUGAGGCACGUGUGCCUUUUUGUAUGUACUUUAUGAAUAAGGAUCGGCUAAUUCCGUGCCAGCAGCCGCGGUAAUACGGAGGAUCCGAGCGUUAUCCGGAUUUAUUGGGUUUAAAGGGAGCGUAGAUGGGUUGUUAAGUCAGUUGUGAAAGUUUGCGGCUCAACCGUAAAAUUGCAAUUGAUACUGGCAGUCUUGAGUACAGUUGAGGUAGGCGGAAUUCGUGGUGUAGCGGUGAAAUGCUUAGAUAUCACGAAGAACUCCGAUUGCGAAGGCAGCUUACUAAACUGCCACUGACAUUGAUGCUCGAAAGUGUGGGUAUCAAACAGGAUUAGAUACCCCUGUAGUC
rnacentral:rRNA from 1 species